UGUUCUGCGUAAGCUAUGGUAUAUCAAAAUAUAACGACAUUGAAUAAAGAGUGUCACCAGUAUUACAACAAACAGGGAGCAGAAAUAAAAGUUCUAUAUUCGAAAAUGAAGUUAUACGGGAUUUGGUGUCUCAUUGUGUUUUUAACAUUUUUCAGCUUUACAGAAGCUGGAUUCUGUUCCGAAGCAUACUCCUGUCGCGGGACGUGCACAAAGAAGGAGAGUUACAGAAGAUCAUGUGGAUUCUUCGGGUCAAGAGGGUGUACUGGCUACCGGUUGGCGUCGUACAAAUGUGACAGCACGUGUUACCGCCAGGUUUGCUGCAAGGGAUAUGCAGGAUCAGACUGUAACACUCCCUUGUGCUAUGGGUCCACAUCAUGUUUGAACGGCAAUCCGUGUACAGGGCCUGACAGAUGUUACUGCAAAACUGGCUACAAACUUCCAAAGUGUGAAGAUAUAAAUGAGUGUCUUUCAAACAAUGGUGGCUGCCAGCACGUUUGCAGAAACAUACUAGGGUCUUAUACAUGUUCCUGUUACGGUGGAUAUAUGUUAAAGACUGACCUCAAAACUUGUAAAGAUAAGAACGAGUGCUCUUCCAACAAUGGAGGAUGUGCUCACACAUGUACAAACAAGCCAGGGACACAUCAGUGCAGCUGCAGAGAAGGCUACACACUUGCUUCGGACGGACGUCGAUGCAAUGAUAAGAACGAGUGCUCUUCCAACAAUGGAGGAUGUGCUCACACAUGUACAAACAAGCCAGGGACACAUCAGUGCAGCUGUAGAGAAGGCUACAAACUUGCUUCGGACGGACGUCGAUGCAAUGAUAUCAACGAAUGUUUUGGGGGGACAUCUAAGUGCGAACAUAAUUGUACUAACACAGAUGGCUCAUAUGCGUGUUCAUGUAUGGCCGGGUACCAGCUGGCUGCUGAUGGGAAGACAUGUAACGAUAUGAACGAGUGUUCUUCUGACAACGGAGGCUGUGCUCACACAUGUUCAAACAAGCCAGGGACACAUAUGUGCAGCUGUAAAGAAGGCUACACACUUGCUUCAGACGGACGUCGAUGCAAUGAUAUCAACGAAUGUUCUGUGGGAACAUCUCAGUGCGGACAUAAUUGUAUUAACACAGAUGGCUCAUAUGCGUGUUCAUGUAAGACCGGGUACCAGCUGGCUGCUGAUGGGAAGACAUGUAACGAUAUCAACGAAUGUUCUGUGGGAACAUCUCAGUGCAGACAUAAUUGUAUUAACACAGAUGGCUCAUAUGCGUGUUCAUGUAAGGCCGGGUACCAGCUGGCUGCUGAUGGGAAGACAUGUAACGAUAUGAACGAGUGUUAUUCUGACAAUGGCGGAUGUGCUCACACAUGUACAAACAAGCCAGGGACACAUCAGUGCAGCUGUGAAGAAGGCUACACACUUGAUUCGGACGGACGUCGAUGCAAUGAUAUCAACGAAUGUUUUGGGGGGACAUCUCAGUGCGAACAUAAUUGUACUAACACAGAUGGCUCAUAUGCGUGUUCAUGUAUGGCCGGGUACCAGCUGGCUGCUGAUGGGAAGACAUGUAACGAUUUUAACGAGUGUUCUUCUGACAAUGGAGGAUGUGCUCACACAUGUACAAACAAGCCAGGGACACAUCAGUGCAGCUGUAGAAAAGGCUACACACUUGCUUCGGACGGACGUCGAUGCAAUGAUAUCAACGAAUGUUCUGGGGGAACAUCUCAGUGCGGACAUAAUUGUACUAACAUAGAUGGCUCAUAUGCGUGUUCAUGUAUGGUCGGGUACCAGCUGGCUGCUGAAAGGAAGACAUGUAACGAUAUAAACGAGUGUUUUUCUGACAAUGGAGGAUGUGCUCACACAUGUACAAACAAGCCAGGGACACAUCAGUGCAGCUGUAGAGAAGGCUACUCACUUGCUUCAGACGGACUUCGAUGCAAUGAUAUCAACGAAUGUUCUGGGGGAACAUCUCAGUGCGGACAUAAUUGUACAAACACAGAUGGCUCAUAUGCGUGUUCAUGUAUGGCCGGGUACCAGCUGGCUGCUGAUAGGAAGACAUGUAACGAUAUAAAUGAGUGUUCCUCAAAUAAUGGUGGCUGCCAGCACGUUUGCAGAAACCACCUAGGGUCUUAUACAUGUUCCUGUAACAGUGGAUAUAUGUUAAAGACUGACCUCAAAACUUGUGAAGAUUUUAACGAGUGUUCUUCUGACAAUGGAGGAUGUGCUCACACAUGUACAAACAAGCCAGGGACACAUCAGUGCAGCUGUAGAGAAGGCUACACACUUGCUUCGGACGGACGUCGAUGCAAUGAUAUCAACGAAUGUUCUGUGGGAACAUCUCAGUGCGGACAUAAUUGUACAAACACAGAUGGCUCCUAUGCGUGUUCAUGUAUGGCCGGGUACCAGCUGGCUACUGAUAGGAAGACAUGUAACGAUAUAAAUGAGUGUUCCUCAAACAAUGGUGGCUGCCAGCACUCUUGCAAAAACGACGAAGGGUCUUUUACAUGUUCCUGUAACAAUGGGUAUAUGUUAAAGACUGACCUCAAAACUUGUAAAGACAUAGAUGAAUGCAGGCUAACCCCGUUCCCCUUUGGCGACCAGUGCUUCAACACUUCCGGACCGUUCAGCUGUGAUUUGGAAACCGGAUAUUACUUCGACACGGGUUCACAAACUUGCAAAGAUGUGAAUGAAUGUGACACGGACAAGGAUAGUUGUGAUCGCAUCUGUAUUAACAUAGAAGGGUUUUACCAAUGUAGCUGCCGACCAGGAUAUGUGCUACAUGGUGAUGGGAGAACAUGUAUACGUAUGAUGAGGUGACCUUAAAUGUGAUACUGACGACAGGUUUCGUGGUUUUCGCUGUGAUAAUUGUUGCGUGUGGUGUAUGCUGCUAUAAAAGGCAUGUAUCAAAGUAAACUUUUCUUGUGGUUUUGUGAGGCAGUUGGAACGAUUCGAAUUUUGCCAAUCCAGUGCUAUUGCUGAGUUCCAGUUGUGCCGAAUAUAUGUGUACAGGCACUACUGCAUCAACGUGAGGAUAUUACACAUUAAUGUUUUAUAUAUUGUCAUCACUACAAUUUGUAUCUUGCUGCUGCCUUAGGCUCAAAUGAUUAUUAUGUUUCAUGACCUUUAAAUGAGAUUUUGGAAUAAGAAAAUUGUCAAAUCAAAGCAUGUCGUUGCUGAAUUUAUUUUUAUAAACGUUUUUCUGACAUGAUAUAUGUUAUUAAAUAUAGCUUUAGGUCUAAUGAACCAGGUUCAAUCAUAUCACGUAUUACAAAUUUAGCAGUUUAAUAGUAAUUUAAUGUUUGAUUUAAACGAAACUAAAUAGUUUUCACGUGUGUCUUUGGGUAAUAUGUUUUAAUUUUAAUCGGUACCUUAUUUCUAACUAAACACAAUACAAAAUUGGUAAUUGUAUUCACAUGAUAGUGUAUUCUGACAGAUAUACCGGGGGUUCUUCAAAAAGUGUUAUUACAUGCUUAAAUUGCAAUCGCUUAUGCGGUAGGGAUGGCAGGACGACGUAAUUUUAGUCAUUUGUCUUAGAAGAACAUUGAAACUUUAUUCUUUGAAAGACACUCUCAUUUUGUAAAUAUUUUAUUAGAAAUUGCAUUUGUCAUUUGUUUUAAAAGAUAAAUAAUAUAACCCGUUUGUAACACUAUCGUCCACGGACAUUUAGCCACACACACUAUUGUAAAAAUAUGAUUGCCUGUGAAAUUCUGAAUCAUAUUUUGAAAAUAACAACAUUCUAGCUGUUGUAUUCUGUACAUAAUCAUUUUAAGCUUGUUAUUGAUUUUUUGAAAAACACAAAAAGUAUCACAUUUCAUUUACUCAUAAUUAAUAAAUCUUAAAUUAAUGGAUGUAUACAGAUCAAAAUGUAUCAAGUUCUGCUUUUUAUGUUAUAUUCAUAUCCACUUUAAAAAAAAAGGUUUAUUGUCUUGACCUUGCAAUUAUUAAAGCUAUGCUUAACCAUUUGCUUGUAUUGUUGUUUAGUGUUAAUUAUUACUGUAUCUUGAACAUGCUAUGUUUGUCUUUAGAAAAUGCUGAAAAUUCCAUCCCGUUCGGGUUAAUAUGUAAUUUGUUAAUUUGCAUAAGCUUCCGAAUAUAUAUCAUGUAAAACCUU